ACAAUCGUAAGGAUGACAUUUAUUUAAUUUUAGCAGCAACUAAAGUCCAAAUAAAUUUACCUAUACUUAAAUGUUAUAGUAUUUAUUUAUAUAUUUAUAUAUAAUGAUAAAAUAAAAAUAAGAAAGGAAGUUUAUUACUACAGUACGACAUAAAAAAGGCAAAACAUGUCAGUAGACCUUAAAGUGUUGAGUUAGUCACCUGGAUUCACACGCACUUGAUACAUGUGUUAUUUUUAUAAAUAAAACCACAAUGAUUCCUCAUCGUUUCAUGUCCUUGUCACAAUUCUCAUAAAACUACUGGGAAAGUAAUGAAAGAUGCAUCAAAGAUUUUAAAAGAGCUGUAUUUAUAAAUAUAUGUGCGUGUGACAGCAAUUACCGAGUCUACAUUUCACUUUCAAUUAUCUUUCGAUCAUCGGUAAGUUUUUUUUUGGACUUUUUAUUAUUACAA